GCCGUAGCUUAGUGGUAGAGAGAAUGCUUUGCAUGCAGAAGGCCACAGGUUCAAUCCCUGACAUCUCCA